GCACACAAUGUGCACACGUUACAUCACUAUCAGUAUUUUUGGUUUGAGAGAAAGGAGGACAGGAGGCUACGAGAUUUGUUUGUGUUUGAUUCUUGGGCGAACUCCUCUCUCUCAACCAACCAUACUGAUACUAAUUGACGUUCGAAGUUUGUGCUU
rnacentral:pre_miRNA from 1 species